AAAUCAAAGUCAAAGUUGCCACUGAUUAUAUCCACAUGGCUCUGAAAGUCCACAAAUUGAAGUAGAAAGCAUUGUAGGAGGUAUGCAUGUUGUUGAUCUUGAAAGAAGGACUUAUAGUUGGAAGAGGUGGGACUUGAGUGGUAUACCAUUAAACAUGUUGUUGCUGCAAUUAACUUCAUGAGGCUAAACCUUGAUGAUUUUGUGGAUGAUUGCUACUUGAAGAAGACAUAUAUUGCUAUUUACAACCAUACCAGAAAGCCUAUAAAUGGUAUGGAGUUGUGGUCCAUUUAUAAAGAACCUACAAUCUUGCCCCCAUAGUAAACAAGACUACCAUGAAGGCCAAGGACACGCAAGGAUCAAGGAUGCAUCUGAGAGGGCUGCCAAUGGAGGUCCCAAGCUUGGCAAUGUUCAGAGAAGUUUAAGGUGUGAUAAUUGUGGUGUGGUUGGCCACAAUGAGAGAUAAUGUCAUAGGCACUUGUCUCCUAAGACAAAAGCAACCGAUCUGAACAAGAAGAGAAAAUUGAACAAUGAAGGGGUAGGAACAUCUGGAAAUCAGGCUACUCGUAAGAAAAAGCCUCCCAUGACAAAGAAUGAGCUACGGCAGAAGGCAAAGUAAAAGGCUGAAAAACUGAAGAAAAAGAGAAUUGAUAAGAACGCUACCACAGCUAAGCUGCUCCUUCAAACGCAAGAGCUGCUCCUACAAAUGCCAGAGUUGCUCGUUCUGCAAACGCAAGAGCUGCUGCUUCAAGCUCUCAAGUUGCUCCGUCAAACUCUAAAGCAACUGGUGCAAAAGAUAAAGAUCCUAUUUCAAGCUCUAAAGCUUUUGGAACACCAACUAGAUCAUCAAAGAGGCUUAGAGAAAGUGGAAGAUAGAGUUGAAAGCAUUUCAGAUUAGCAGGCCUUAGUUUAGCUUUAGGGUGAUAAA